UGUCGGUGAUGUUAUUGUAAAAUGCAGUGAAAAAGUUCUUCUGACUGCUCCAGAGUUUGGUUCAAUGUUAUUGGAUGCUGCGGUGGCCCAUGUUGAAUCCUUUGGAGGUUGUGAUGGAGACAUGAAAAUUGAGGUUGUGAUAAAGCGACGAAGAGAUGGCAGCACACUAUCAAAAACUAUGGUUGUGGAGAUGCUGAAAGAGAACAAUUAUAACAGGCAUUUUGUUUCUUUUCUUUUCUUUUAUAAAAAUAUUGAUGCCAUGUGUUACAGCUUUGUUUGUACCACCGUCAUCACAUCUUGUUUUGUUUUCCAUUCAGGUGGCCUGCGCCGAUGCCAAGCUACACGAUGCGCGUUAUAAAUGUCACACCGCGUGGCAUAGGCGGCUACUAGCAACACCCCCCCCCUCCCUCUCUGCUAUCUUUUUUGUUUGCAUGGUACUUCACUGUGUCGGACUACACAUCUUUUUGAUGAUCUACAUGGCUUGUAUUUUUGUUGAGAAACCAUGACUUGUAAUUCGCUGUGGAUCUCGUGUUAAUCCAUGUUAACAA